AGAUUGAACGCUGGCGGCAUGCUUUACACAUGCAAGUCGAACGGCAGCACGGGGGCAACCCUGGUGGCGAGUGGCGAACGGGUGAGUAAUGCAUCGGAACGUAUCCUUAAGUGGGGGAUAACGCAUCGAAAGAUGCGCUAAUACCGCAUAAUCUCUGAGGAGAAAAGCAGGGGAUCGCAAGACCUUGCGCUUUUGGAGCGGCCGAUGUCUGAUUAGCUAGUGGUGAGGUAAGGCUUACCAAGGCUUCGAUCAGUAGCUGGUCUGAGAGGACGACAGCCACACUGGGACUGAGACACGGCCCAGACUCCUACGGGAGCAGCGAGUGGGAAUUUGGACAAGUGGGGGAAACCCUGAUCCAGCCACGCCGCGUCGAGUGAAG
rnacentral:rRNA from 1 species